rnacentral:rRNA from 1 species
AGCGAACGCUGGCGGCAGGCCUAACACAUGCAAGUCGAACGAACUCUUCGGAGUUCGUGGCGGACGGGUGAGUAACACGUGGGAACGUGCCUUUUGGUUCGGAAUAACUCAGGGAAACUUGUGCUAAUACCGAAUGUGCCCUUCGGGGGCAAGAUUUAUCGCCAUUAGAGCGGCCCGCGUCUGAUUAGCUAGUUGGUGAGGUAACGGCUCACCAAGGCGACGAUCAGUAGCUGGUCUGAGAGGAUGACCAGCCACACUGGGACUGAGACACGGCCCAGACUCCUACGGGAGGCAGCAGUGGGGAAUCUUGCGCAAUGGGCGAAAGCCUGAUGCAGCCAUGCCGCGUGAAUGAUGAAGGUCUUAGGAUUGGAAAAUUCUUUAACCGGGGACGAUAAUGACGGUACCCGGAGAAGAAGCCCCGGCUAACUUCGUG